CAGAGUCCCGAUGUCAUACUCGUGUUUCACCCACUCGUCGUCGCCGCCGCCGAUGUGACAAGCAAUUUCCUUUCUCCAGAUCAUCAGGAUCAGGGUGGUCGAUCGGAAAGCAGGCAGGUGCAAACGGAAUUACGGAAGGGAGGUUAUCCUCCUAUAGAUGCUGUAGCUGGAUCCUGGUGCUCCGGUCAUGAGGGUCGACGAGGUAGGUGGACGAGGCGGCGGCGUCGCGGAUCAGGACUUCUGCUCCGAGAUGCUGAAGAAGACGGGGUGAUCUGAACCCGCCGCGUGCUUCAGUGCAAGGCAGUUUUGCUCCACGUAAGCUCCUGGAACAAAUCUAGGCGAAGUCAAGGCAGGGGCAGUCGCUAUCACUCUCCAGGUAAGCUAAUUACGAUUUGGUCUCUAGCAACAUUUCCAAACAUAUUAGUCUUUGGCAUUUCAUAAUUGAUAGAUUCACACAGCUGUGCAUUCGAUCAGUAUGUGAUGGUCGUGGGUGUGGCAUGUGUUCUCAUACUGCCAGCCUUCACUCUUCUUUCAUAUAGUAGCAUAAAGUUUAUAAAUUAUGUCGAUUCUAUUGUAUCUGUCAAAUUGGGUGUUAUUGGUCACUUUGUCCUGAUAACAUUUCAUAUAAGCUUAUGCUGUGAGAAUGUGAAUUUGUCAGAUAAAUCUGUACAACGAAGAGUGUUUCUGGUGCUAUAUAUAUGAUAUGAGAAUUAUUUUGCUUGGCAUUUCGUGGGAAAAUAUUGUUGGUCCGAGACGGCCAAGGAGCGCUCAACAUGGCACAUCGGAAAGGGGAGUCAACAUGGCUCAACCUAAAGGCGGCGGAGUUGAACGCAUCAACAUGACACGCUCGGGCCAUAGGGAUAUUGUUAAUUGGAUAAUCAUGCUUCUCUAUUGGUAUAUUUUUUCUUUCUUUGUCAUCUAUACUAAUGACUUUAGGUACGUGUUGGUUGGCCA